rnacentral:rRNA from 1 species
GACGAACGCUGGCGGCGUGCUUAACACAUGCAAGUCGAACGGAAAGGCCCCUUUGGGGGUCCUCGAGUGGCGAACGGGUGCGUAACACGUGCGUAACCUGCCCUUGACUUCGGGAUAACUUCAGGAAACUGGGGCUAAUACCGGAUAGGAAUCCUUGCUGCAUGGUGGGGGUUGGAAAGCUUCGGCGGUUUUUGAUGGACUCGCGGCUUAUCAGCUUGUUGGUGGGGUAGUGGCUUACCAAGGCUUUGACGGGUAGCCGGCCUGAGAGGGCGACCGGCCACAUUGGGACUGAGAUACGGCCCAGACUCGUACGGGAGGCAGCGGAGGAGAAUAUUGCACAGUGGGCGGAAGCCUGAGGCGGCGACGCCGCGUGCGGGAUGACGGCCUUCGGGUUGUAAACCGCGUUCAGCAGGGGCGAAGCUUGUGGUGACGGUACCUGCAGAAGAAGCACCGGCUAACUACGUG